GAUUUAGUGUGGUGAAUGUAAACUCAGCUGAUUUCGAACAGGUAAGAUGUAUUCCAAAGAAUUUAACAUAAAUACAGGAAAUGUGUGCAAUAGAAGUAGACUUGUGCAGACAUUCACUGACCCCAUGACAGAAGUGUACCUGCUGUUCUUCCAAGCCACCGUACCAACUUUCACUUCUUUCAACUUGCUGCUUCAGAGAGAGCAGUCAUCAAUAUUUUUGUUACAUGAUGAGAUGGUGAAAUUCGUACGCAAGCUAUGUUCCAAGUUUAUGGUUCCAGCAGCUCUGCAGUGCCAUGAGGAGCCUUGUGAAAUUGCCUUUAAAGAAAAGGCAAACCAUUUACCAGGAAGAAAGUUGAACAUUGGGUUCACAACCAGGGCUAAACUUAACAGAUUACUCGACGAGGGUGACAUCACACCACAGCAGGUGGAUUCAUUCCAUGAAGCUGUGUUGUGUUUCCUGACAAGUGCUGUGGACUAUGCACUUAAGAAGCUGCCACUGGAAGAGCCACUGAUCA